rnacentral:rRNA from 1 species
GAUGAACGCUAGCGACAGGCCUAACACAUGCAAGUCGAGGGGCAGCACAUGAGUAGCAAUACGAUGGUGGCGACCGGCGCACGGGUGAGUAACACGUAUGCAACCUGCCUGUAAGAGGGGGAUAACCCGGAGAAAUUCGGACUAAUACCGCAUAAUACCACGAGACUGCAUGGUUUUGUGGUUAAACAUUUAUGGCUUACAGAUGGGCAUGCGUAUGAUUAGAUAGUUGGUAGGGUAACGGCCUACCAAGUCUACGAUCAUUAGGGGUUCUGAGAGGAAGGUCCCCACACUGGUACUGAGACACGGACCAGACUCCUACGGGAGGCAGCAGUGGGGAUCUUGCACAAUGGGCGAAAGCCUGAUGCAGCGACGCCGCGUGAGCGAAGAAGGCCUUCGGGUUGUAAAGCUCUGUCUGGGGACGAAGAAGUGACGUACUCGGAGGAGCACGGCUAACUACGUGCCAGCAGCCGCGGUAAGACCGU